GACGAACCGUGCGAACGUUGUUCGGAAUCACUGGGCUUAAAGGGCGCGUAGGCGGCCUGCAUAGUCGGGGGUGAAAUCUUUCGGCUUAACCGGAAAAUUGCCUUCGAUACUGGCAGGCUCGAGCGAGGUAGGGGCGGAUGGAACUUCCGGUGGAGCGGUGAAAUGUGUUGAUAUCGGAAGGAACGCCGGUGGCGAAAGCGAUCCGCUGGACCUCUUCUGACGCUGAGGCGCGAAAGCUAGGGGAG
rnacentral:rRNA from 1 species